GUCUCUAGGCCGGUCGCUCCGCUGCUCUCCUGAGCUCAGGGGCUUCCCUUCAUGGGCCCCCCGAAGCCUGCCUCCACCACCUCCUGAGCCACAGAGACCAGGAGGACUCUCCCUCUACAGUCUGACCUAUGCAAGAGAAGCCUUCUUAGGUCCUGCCUUGAGCUAACUGACUCGCCUCCGGAAGGGCUCCUUGUGAUGUUCCUGUAUUAAUGUAUAUAUGCUUCUUGGCAGACCAGGAACAUCUCCCAAUCGCCUGAGAAACUCGCCAGGGAUGAACGUCUCCUCCAGGGGAUCAUAAAAAUCUGCAGGCAGGCUUCCCUGGGGGGCAACGAUACCAUCUCUUUUUCAAAAGACCUCACUGCGCAGACCAUUUUGGACAUUAUGGGAAAUUGGAACAAUUUUGCUCAAUCAAAGAACAUUUUGCAAGAGGCCUUAGACGCCAUCUUCAAAUUGAGCUUUAUAAAACCAAGAGAAUAUAAUCAAUCAUACAUGUGGCCUUUCAAGCGGUGUGUGAUCAGAAAAGGGAGCAUGAAGGGGAGGACCUCAAAGAGCAUUUCAGUCUGAUACUUCGGGGCCUCCUCUGCGAGGCCCCAACUCCCAGGACCCUCUGCCUUCU